UUUGAUUUUAUAUAGCAGCAUUUUAUCUCUCCAUGUAUUCAAGUUUUCUUAUAGGACUCAUAAAUAUGUUUUAAUAGACUUCUGGCAAGUUUAUGCUUUUGUGAAAAUUAGAAAGAUUUUUUUCCAUUACAUUUUUUACCUGGUUAUUGCUGGAUUGGAAGAGUCACAAAAUUCCACACACACAACUUGGAGGUAAACAAAAAAUACAGCACACAUAAUCUGGUCUUUUUCUGAAUUCCAUGUCCAAAAUUUGUCAGAAAAACAAAGUGUGCAAUCUCCUGUGAAUCUACUCUGAUCUACUAUACUAAAAAAUACUUAGUCUUUUUGUGUUGCAUUUUCUCCCCCUUCCCCAUUAUCUCCUCCUAAGCCUUUCCUGGGAAUUGCAAGCCCACUAGAGAUCCUAUUCUGUCACUAAGCAAAAUCUGAUUUACAAUUUUGGCUAAGGAGAGGGAACAUAUUAAAACAUAUCAACAAUUUGAGAAUCAAUAUUAUUAAAUUUCAUGUAGGUUUUAGAAAUGUUUUACUUGUAAACUUUAGACUUCAUUUUAUAAAAUUACAUUUUUAAAACUUUUUACAUUUUUAGGAAAUACAUGUUAGCUAAAAAACUGUGUUUUGCUCCCUGCUACGUUUGCUUAUCCUAUCCUUCAUUACUCCUUGGAUUUUAGUCUAACUGGUCUUCGGACAUGCCUCUUCCCCACAAACACCCCCACCACCAUACCACAUUGCUGUGACACAUUUAGCUUAUUAAUGUGGUAAGAGUGGAGCUCACUUACAGAAUUUUUGCAGACUAGACAUUAGGCUACAGGCCUUUACCAUGGAGCAGAAAAGUGGUAUCUCAAACCUCAUCCACAAAGGUUGAUCUAGUCCAAGCCCCUCUCCAGGUUCAUGUUCAUGUACAGCUUUGUUCUUACUAUAACAACCUACAUUUUAGAAUAGGCAACAAAGACCAUUACCAAGAGCAGUAGGAGGGGCAACCUUUGGCUGUUUGUUUUUCAGGAUCUCAACUUGUGAACUUACUCUUCUCUUCACACACAGAAUGGGAUAACUGCCUGGCACUCACCAAGCUACACUUGAAGAGGAUCAAUCCAUAUCAUCAUGUCCCCAAUUUCAUAGCACCAAGUAUUUUGUUUAUUCACAAAUGCCCUAUUAUGGACAUCUAGCAAACAAUGAUACAUCAAAAAAGGAGAUGUGCAUAAAUUUUCAUGGAAUAAGGACGCGCAUGAAAGAACGUGCCACAGAAAAUGAGACACAUCAGUAAGGGUAGGUUUGAAAUACCAAUUUAAAGCAGACUUUCACCGUUUGGCCAGGCUAUAAACAUUAAAAAUCCAUAACUAAGAUCUUACUAUAUAUUCAGGCAUUUUAAGAACUCUGCAUAUAUAAUUACGUUUGACCCUUCUAAUGCCUUUAUCAGAUAGGUUCUA
rnacentral:lncRNA from 1 species